UUUUCCUACGGGGGGCAGCAGUGAGGAAUAUUGGUCAAUGGUCGGGAGACUGAACCAGCCAAGCCGCGUGAGGGAGGAAGGUAUAGAGUAUCGUAAACCUCUUUUGUCAGGGAACAAAGACUGGGACGCGUCCCCGGAUGAGUGUACCUGAAGAAAAAGCAUCGGCUAACUCCGUGCCAGCAGCCGCGGUAAUACGGAGGAUGCGAGCGUUAUCCGGAUUUACUGGGUGUAAAGGGAGCGUAGACGGCAUGGCAAGUCUGAUGUGAAAACCCGGGGCUCAACCCCGGGACUGCAUUGGAAACUGU
rnacentral:rRNA from 1 species